rnacentral:rRNA from 1 species
UAGGGAAUCUUCCGCAAUGGACGAAAGUCUGACGGAGCAACGCCGCGUGAGUGAAGAAGGAUUUCGGUUCGUAAAACUCUGUUGUUAGGGAAGAAAAAAUGUAUAGUAACUAUAUACAAAAGGGACGGUACCUAACCAGAAAGCCACGGCUAACUACGUGCCAGCAGCCGCGGUAAUACGUAGGUGGCAAGCGUUGUCCGGAAUUAUUGGGCGUAAAGCGCGCGCAGGUGGUUUAGAAAGUCUGAUGUGAAAGCCCACGGCUCAACCGUGGAGGGUCAUUGGAAACUAAUAAACUUGAGUGCAGGAGAGAAAAGUGGAAUUCCUAGUGUAGCGGUGAAAUGCGUAGAGAUUAGGAGGAACACCGGUGGCGAAAGCGGCUUUUUGGCCUGCAACUGACACUGAGGCGCGAAAGCGUGGGGAGCAAACAGG